AACGAACGCUGGCGGCAUGCCUAACACAUGCCAGUCGAACGAGACCUUCUGUUCUGGUGGCUCACCGGUGCGUAACGCGUUGAAAUCUGCCCUUGGGUUCGGACUAAGUCGCCGGAAUACGUUCUGGUACCUGGUGAUGACAUAAGUCCAAAGCUUUAUCGCCCAAGGAUGAGCCCGCGUUGGAUUAGCUAGUUGGUGAGGUAAAGGAUCACCAAGGCGACGAGCCAUAGCUGGUCUGAGAGGAUGAUCAGCCAGACUGGGACUGAGACACGGCCCAGACUGGUGGGGGAGGCAGCAGUGGGGAAUAUUGGAGAAUGGGCGAAAGGCUGAUCCAGCAAGGCCGCGUGAGUGAUGAAGGCCUUAGGGUCGUAAAGCUCUUUUACCCGGGAUGAUAAUGACCGUACCGGGAGAAUAAGCACCGGCUAACUCCGUG
rnacentral:rRNA from 1 species